rnacentral:rRNA from 1 species
UCCGUAGGUGAACCUGCGGUUGGAUCACCAAAAAUGGGUUUUACACCUUUACACUGUGUGAACUGUAAACGUCCUUGGUGAGACCAACUCGGUCGAGAUGACUCACCACAUGUUUUAACCUGUAUUAAGUUAGUCUUGAUUUUCUUUUAUCAAUAAGAAACAACUUUUGACAACGGAUCUCUUGGCUCUCGCAACGAUGAAGAACGCAGCGAAAUGCGAUACGUAAUGUGAAUUGCAGAAUCCAGUGAAUCAUCGAAUCUUUGAACGCAUAUUGCGCUCCCUGGUAACCCGGAGAGCAUGCCUGUUUGAGUAUCUACAUAUCUCAACACCAACUGGUGAUUGGAAGUGAGUUGUGUCUGAUAGACUGGCUUGAAAUGUAGUGUUGAAGGAGAUUCCGUCGCUUUUCGGAAGGGAUAGUAAUUGAAUGAGUGGUAUACUCAGCAUUUUCUAAUUCCUAAUGAGAGGCGUGGAAUCUAGCCGCUUGGCACUUUCGGCAGAAAGUUAUAGAGCGUUGCUCUGGAACAUGGUCUCAAAUCAGGUAGGAAGACCCGCUGAACUUAAGCAUAUCAAUAAGCGGAGGAAAAGAAACUAACAAGGAUUCCCCUAGUAACGGCGAGUGAAGCGGGAAAAGCUCAAAUUUGAAAUCACACGGGAUUCCUGUGCGAAUUGUAGUUUAAAGAGUCGUUUUCGGGGCCCUUUUGAACACAAGUUCUUUGGAACAAGACAUCAUAGAGGGUGAGAAUCCCGUCUUUGGUUCAAUAUGGGCUCCCUUGUGAUACGAUCUCGAAGAGUCGGUUUGUUUGGGAAUGCAGACCAAAAUGGGUGGUAAAUACCAUCUAAGGCUAAAUAUUGGCGAGAGACCGAUAGCGAACAAGUACCGUGAGGGAAAGAUGAAAAGAACUUUGAAAAGAGAGUUAAAUAGUACGUGAAAUUGUCAAAAGGGAAACGCUUGAAGU